rnacentral:lncRNA from 1 species
CGGGGGCCUGGGGCCCCGCGCGGCCGGCUCGUCAGCUUUUCCCGCUCGCUUUCCCCGCGCGCCAGCCGAGGCCUUCCUCCUUUGGUGGGGGCUCCAGCUUAACCUAGACCAGAGGAGGCUUUUCUUUGAUGGUGGUGGGGUGAGGGGGAGGGGAGGGGGAGGUGAGGCACGAAAGUGAGGUGAGAAUUUCUCGACACUGGAAGCCGAAAUGCUGCUCCUAGGUUUUCGAUUUUCUUUACAGGGAGUAAAGGGUGGGCAGCGAGUUCAGGCGUAUUGAGUGAUGAUAAUAACUAACAUUUUUCUAAGCCCUCACUGUGUGCCAGGCACUGUGCGGAGCAACUUGUGUGUUUCUCUUUUACUCCUGAAAUGCCCCGAUGAGAUGGGCUUAAAGGAGAGACUUGAGCUGGAGUUUCCAAUUUAAUGGAACCAUAUAGUGCUUGUAGUGUGAAUAUAAUCCUUGGGAGUCUGCAAGGCUAUAUGAGGUAAUCCUAAAAUAAAGUGUCAUCUAUUUGAAACAUUUAAAAAUGCUAAUUGAGACCCUAGUUUGCAAGAUACUCAAUCCUAUAAACUGUCAAACUAGUAAGAAACUUGGUGAAUAAUACAUAUUUUUAUGAGAAGCUGCAGAAUCAUAACAAAGGAAAAAAAAUCACAAAUGAAGUAAAGAUCAAUUUGCUAUAUAAAUAUCAGUAUGUUACCCUUUCUUGGCUUUAUGGAGUGACCUGAGAUACAACAUUGAUGAUAAUGGUGUAAUCAAGCUGAUAGGCUUGUUUUGUUUUAAUUUGAAUUAUCUAGAUAAUCUCAAAGGGAAAGGAGAAGUUGUAGAUGUGGUCUGUAAGUUUUUCUUAACCUUUGAUAUUGUAACCUGAAGUAUUUUCAUCAUUUUGCAUGAGAAGAUUGAAUGUGGUAAGCAAUAUUUGAUAAAGUAUUAUUUAGAAAUUUUAAUGAAACUACUUAGUGUCAAAGGAUACAAUUAGAUUGAUGUUAUUAGUGUAGUUUCUUAGAGUUUGGUGAAACAAGUAAUAAAUGGUACAGGUAAUUUAAGAAUAAUGCAGUCAUGGACUAGUGAAGGAUAAACAUCUCUACAUCCUGCUUGUGCAAGAAUCAAACUCAAUCCAUUUUGCCCAUUCUUUUAAGAAAAUUGUGAUGCAAUUUCUCAUUUCAUCUUUAUGCUAUAGUUAAUUUUACAUACCUCUCUUUGCCUUUAUGUUUAUAAAGUUCAGGGUGAUUUUAUCUCCUCAAAUGAAAAAUUGGGUGAUCUCAUGCCAAAUACUUUGAAAGGGUUUUUAAAAGUAGUAAGUGACAGUGUUUGAAAACUUACUAUGUGCCAGGUGCCUUUUUAAAUAUUCCAGCACACUCACUUUAAGUCUUAAUUUUGAGAUGGCAGGCAUUAUUUUGUUGAAUAAAAACAUCUUGCUUGUUACUUUUUGCUUGUUUUCAUUUUUUGAUCUUGUUAUAAAAUAAACUAAGCAAUUUAGAAUUUUUUUAAGGUAGUAAAAAUUUCUGAUUUAGUUUAACUAAAAAUGUGAUAUUGUGUAUCUGUAUUGUCAAAGCUGUAUUGUCGCACUUGAACCUAAUACUGCCACGGUAAUAUGUUGUAAUAUUACAGGUGGAACACUCCCCCCCCCCCCCCCCACCCCGCCCCAAGUGGAACCCUCUUAAUUGAGUUUACUAGCUUGGGAAAGUUGGAAUGCAUGUUGAAAAUAUGUACCUUUGAUGUUGUUAUGUUCAGUUUAUAAAAAUUGAAUAUUGGGGAUAAUGAGUUAAUUCUUCAUAGGAUUUUUUUCCCCCAUAGCAUUUGUCUGAUUACAGUAAAUUUGAAUGUAUAAAAUCUCACUGGUCUGUGUGGGUUUGCUUUGUUUCUUAUAAUGUUUAUUCCUUUUAAAACCCAGGAAUUGCUGAAGUGAUCUUUUUGGUCUGUGAGUCAGUCUCAGCUAAAUGAUUCAGUCUUCUCCCCUGCUCCUUUCUCCCCUUAUACUUGAUCUAUCAGGUAGAAAAUAU